rnacentral:rRNA from 1 species
CCUACGGGGGGCAGCAGUGGGGAAUAUUGGACAAUGGGGGCAACCCUGAUCCAGCCAUGCCGCGUGUGUGAAGAAGGCCCUCGGGUUGUAAAGCACUUUCAGUGAGGAAGAACGCCUGGUGGUUAAUACCCAUCAGGAAAGACAUCACUCACAGAAGAAGCACCGGCUAACUCCGUGCCAGCAGCCGCGGUAAUACGGAGGGUGCGAGGGUUAAUCGGAAUUACUGGGCGUAAAGCGCGCGUAGGUGGCUUGAUAAGCCGGUUGUGAAAGCCCCGGGCUCAACCUGGGAACGGCAUCCGGAACUGUCAAGCUAGAGUGCAGGAGAGGAAGGUAGAAUUCCCGGUGUAGCGGUGAAAUGCGUAGAGAUCGGGAGGAAUACCAGUGGCGAAGGCGGCCUUCUGGACUGACACUGACACUGAGGUGCGAAAGCGUGGGUAGCAAACAGGAUUAGAUACCCUAGUAGUC